UACGGAGGGGGCUAGCGUUGUUCGGAAUUACUGGGCGUAAAGCGCACGUAGGCGGCUUUGUAAGUUAGAGGUGAAAGCCCGGGGCUCAACCCCGGAACUGCCUUUAAGACUGCAUCGCUUGAAUCCAGGAGAGGUGAGUGGAAUUCCGAGUGUAGAGGUGGAAUUCGUAGAUAUUAGGAAGAACACCAGUGGCGAAGGCGGCUCACUGGUCCGGUACUGACGCUGAGGUGCGAAAGCGUGGGGAGCAAACAGG
rnacentral:rRNA from 1 species